rnacentral:tRNA from 1 species
GCCUCCAUAGCUCAAUCGGUCAGAGCGCCCCGAAAGGGGAUGGGCUCCCGGUUCGAAUCCGGGUGGUGGCA